rnacentral:rRNA from 1 species
GACGAACGCUGGCGGCGUGGAUCAGGCAUGCAAGUCGAACGGUAUCAUCCUUUCGGGGGUGAGAGAGUGGCGAACUGGUGAGUAACACGUAGGUUAUCUACCCUCAAGACGGGGACAACCCAGGGAAACUUGGGCUAAUACCGGAUGUGAGCAACUUUUUAGUUGUUUGAAAGGUGGCGUAAGCUGUCGCUUGGGGAUGAGCCUGCGUCCUAUUAGUUAGUUGGUGAGGUAACGGCUCACCUAGGCAAUGAUAGGUAGGCGGCCUUAACGGGUGGUCGCCCACACUGGGAUUGAGAUACGGCCCAGACUCCUACGGGAGGCAGCAGUCGAGAAUAGUCUACAAUGGUCGGAAGACUGAUAGUGCGACGCCGCGUGAACGAUGAAUCCCUUCGGGGUGUAAAAGUUCUUUUAUAUGUAGAGCAGUGCUUCUUAAUAUUAACAGUAUGGGGAGAGAGAUAUUAGCAUAUAAUAAGCAACGGCUAAACUUCCGGCCAGCAGCCGACGGUAAAACGG